AUUGGAGAGUUUGAUCCUGGCUCAGGACGAACGCUGGCGGCGUGCCUAACACAUGCAAGUCGCACGGGAUUGGGGGCAACUCCAGUUCAGUGGCAGACGGGUGCGUAACACGUGAGGAACCUGACCGACGGUGGGGGAUAGCCGGCCCAACGGCCGGGUAAUACCGCAUAUCCUCAUUCGGGGGCAUCCCUGGGUGAGGAAAGCAGCCGCAAGGUUGCGCCGGCGGGGGGCCUCGCGGCCUAUCAGCUUGUUGGCGGGGUAAUGGCCCACCAAGGCGACGACGGGUAGCUGGUCUGAGAGGAUGGCCAGCCACAUUGGGACUGAGACACGGCCCAGACUCCUACGGGAGGCAGCAGUGGGGAAUAUUGCGCAAUGGCCGCAAGGCUGACGCAGCGACGCCGCGUGUGGGAUGACGGCCU
rnacentral:rRNA from 1 species